UUUUUCUUCUCUUUCCCUCAGUUAGAGAAAAAAAAAAAGAAAAAGAUGAAGAAAAAGAAGAAAAAAAAAUUUGUCAGGCCCCCCGAACUGAAGGUUACGAGCGGCCCGUCAGCAGCCCACAUGUAACCGAACUGUCGUGUUUCAUGGCUUUUUGCCACUCCAGCUGUCAAUCAAAGCCCGGAAUGUCAAGGUAGUGAAUGAAUGAUGGUUGAUGAUGAUGAAGAGGAGGAAUCUUUCAGACCCGUUUUUUUUUCUUCCAGUAAAACUCCACGAGGGGUUUCUGUUUCUUGAAUUUUUUUCCUCCCCCCUCCCCCCCUCUUUAAGCUUUGCCCCCGCUGAAUCUAUAAUACGAUCCUCUCUCUUUAAAGUAUCGUUCAAAGAAAGCGAGGGGGGGGAAAACAAUCAAGAAAAAAAAAAUGAAUAGUUUGCAAAAAUUGGACUUCCUCCCCCCCUCCCUUUCCUGGUAGGUAUUUUGUCUCUCCCUCUCUCUCUCGCUCGCUCGCUCGCUCUCACUCGCGCUCGCUCUCUCGCGCUCGCUCUCUCUCGCUCUCUUUCUCUCUCUGGGAGAUGAGUGAGUGUCAGUAGGUGUUGGCAGGUUGGCUGCUGCCUGGCUUAUAGAAGAGCCUCAGUUUGGCGGCGCGGGUCGGCGGCGGGAGAACGAAAUGACGGAACCCGGAAGUCGUGGUGGCCAUAGCCCGUCGUACGGCGGAGACACAUCCCGGGAGUGGGGAGCGGGAGCGAGGAGGAGCGCGCCGCGCCGAGCCUCUGAUAUGCAGCGAGUGCGAUCGGACGGCCCGAGCUGGGGGGGCGGAGGAGGCGGGGGGCGGGAGGGGGAGGGGAGGCAGGAGCGGAGCCGACCCGAGCAAAUCAGAGAGCCUGCUCCUCCGCGGGGACGGCGGGGGAGGGAGGAGGGGGAGAGGAAGAGGAGUGUGUGUGUGUGUGUGUGUGUGUGUGUGUUGUGUGUGCGCGCGAGUGUAUGUGUAGUGUGCGCGCGCGCGGACGCGCGCACGACCCAGCGGGAAGAGAGGGAGAGAGAUAGAGAAAGAGAGAGAGAGAAAGAGAAAGAAGAGGACAGGGAGAGCGCAGAGAGGAAAACUGCAGAAAACCGCAGGGAAAGUACGAUCCAGGACCCUUGUUGUUAAGGUUCAUUUUUUCCUGGACGAGUGGAGACCAGCUUAACUCAGAGAGCAUUCCCUCCAAGCCGUGCGGACGAGGGCCACCCUGGAGAGGCGGGGGACCGCGAUGGAAUCGGGAGGGAGGAAGUCGGGAGCGGGUCUUGUGAGUGUUUGAUGUAGUCCGCUGUCGCCAAGGGUGUGUGUAAGUGAGUGUGUGUGUGUGUGUGUCUGUGUUUGUGUGUGUCUGUGUGUGCGCGCGUGCGCGCGCGCGCGCUUUUCUCUAGUGUGCGCCUCCGAAAUGGAUCUGACUUAGAGCAGGGAAACACGGGAGUAAAGACUGGCAGAGAGAAGAAGAGAGGGAAAAAGAGAUGCACUGCCCGGUAGAUUGGCCAGUACUCUCUGUCCAGCUUUGUUGUGAUCGUCCGGGUUGCAGAGACCCCGGCGCGGUCCAGACGGCCAAAGGCUGUUGUGUUAGUUACCCCCGAGCAAUUUCGCGGGAUCGGGAAGAUGGGACGGACUCCGAAAGAACUUUUCCCCAAAGGAAAAGGAGGCGGGGGUGGGGGUAGGUAACUGUCCCACAGGGUUGUGUAGACAGUGGUUCUGGAGGGUGUCUCACCCAAUCCCAGGCCGGAGCUGCACCCAGCCUCACCUCGGCACCGCGGGCUUCCCGGCGUUAGCGCGUCAAUCACUCGGAGCCCUGAGCAGGGGGCGGAGCUACGUACGCUCUCCCCAGGCGCGGGGCUCCGCAGACCCCGCCGCCCCGCGGCUCGGGGCCGCCCAGCAGCCCGGCCCUGGCCUUCGAGCGCGCACCCCGGCCGGCCUUCGAGCGCUCGCUCUCUCCUCCAUCCCUGGCCCUAGCUCAAAGAUUCCAAACCAGGCUUUUCCCCCAUAGCCAUUUCCCUCCCUUCCUCUCCAACUUUGGAGUGUAAAAAGUAGCUUAUUCUGUUGGAGUGGCUUUGACCCGAGGUUGCAGAGGGAGUGGUGGGGUUGGUGUAGGGUUGUGGAUGCUGGGAGAAUAAAGUAUAGUGUGUGCGUGAUCGAGGGGAGGGGGAGAGAAGCAGAAGAAAAAGGAGAGAGAGAGAGACAGAGAGAGAGAGACAGAGAGAGAGAGAGAGAGAGAGAGAGAGAGAGAGAGAGAGAGAGAGAGAGAGAUCUAGCACUGGUAGAUGGGCGCUCUCUUUUUUCACUCCCUUUCUUUGCUUCACUAUAAGCUUUCAAACGACACUGCUGGCUCCUAUCGCAGCCCGCAGAGACUCCAGGCGGAGUCGGGGGGGGGGGGGGGGAUCUGGCCCGGUUUUAAUGGGGCCGGGGAAUGCGCUCCGGAGGUCAGUAAAGCCCUCCAAAAAUGAUGAAUGAUUGAGCACCUGUGAUGAUGAUAGUGAUUACCAGAGCAAUUAAACAGUUUGAUUAAAUGAACCAUCAUAACAAUGAUGUCUGCGGGAAACCGGCCCUGACAUAUAAAGAUAGUGCGGAGGGGCCAGCAGAGUCGAGUGUAGUGCGACGCCCGGGAGCGGGACUUUGCACUUGUAGGUAUUUGCCCGGGUGGCCAGAGCAGAGAUGACCCGGCCAGGCGGCCCAGCGCGCGGAGCUUCUGGGAGAGUUGAACCCUGGUCUCCAGUCAUUCGUGUCAGGCUUCAAGCCUGCGAGAUCCUAAUUGUUUGAAACCUGCUGUUUGUAGGGGAAGGGUCUUUGCCCCCAAUUCCACGUCCUCAUUGUUUUUUCUCCUAGAAGACUCCGAGAUUAAAAGCAUCCUUAAUGCUGAGCUGCUCCUCGAUAUUUAAGAAAAGGUGAGUAAAAAGAGAAGACGCAAAAGAGAAGACAAAGUUGGUUCCCUAAAUUUUAUUUCAAGCCGCAGUUAAGCGAAUUCAUUUUACCCGGGGCAGGAGGAUAAACCGGACGAGGGGGGGAGAGCCCAAUGUGGUCUUUCUGGGGAGCGUUCCGACCUUGCAGGUCUUUUGAUACGGGUGGAUUUACGUUUCCCCCGGGUAGCGCCCCUGGAUGAGAAGUUAACACUCAGUUUUUCCAUUUUCACACUUCCAGUUGCUCUUAUCUUCGAUAGUGCAUAUUUAUUGUCACCAAUAGAAUUAAUAUUGUUUUAAAUGUACUGUGAAGCGCCAAUUACUUUUCUUUUUUUUUUAAUGAAACUCAGUUUCCUAGAUUAACGCUUCUUUUGUAAAGAUUCACUCCCAACCGCUCGGGAACCUCUGCAUGCAGUUUAAACAUUCUUUUUGGCUACCUUCUGCUUCCCCUUUUCCUCCCUUUAAUAGUAAGACUUAACUGAGGUACAGCUCCAGAGACUUCAUUUAGAAAAACAUCACACACACAUAUAAUAUAUAUAUAUAUGUAUAUAUAUAUAUAUAUAAAAUGUUUCUCCCAUGGCAGCACAUGAGAAUAAAAAUAAUUCAAACUAGGGACUUCUACAUCUUCAAAUAGCUUUAAAAUUAAAAAAAAAAACGUUGAUUAUAUUUAAUAAUCUUGGGUUUUAUAAAAGAAAAAUAGGUUUAAACUUUAUUUUUAUGUGUUUCCUUCCUUUGGGUAACACAGAUCGUAUUUACACCUGAAUGCCAUUCCUCUGUUCUUUCUGUCUAAUAUUCUGAAACGUCUUUUGACUUUUAUUGGUUAUUUUAAAGCCAACAGCAGGAACAAUUUGGUUAAUUGUAGGAGGGAGAGAGAAAUAGGACAUUUUAAGGUACUGUCAAAGGGAGGGGGAACCCUUUUACUCAAAGACUGAAGUUGGAGAGUAUUAUUAAAAGUGAAUCUCUGCUGAAGGGAAAACCUAUGUCAUUUUAAAAUUCACCAGUUGCCCAUGAAGACAACUCUGUUAUUGUAGUAGGAUUUCUUUUACCCGUUUGUGUGUCGUUCAGGAAAUUUAGUUUAAAAUACCAUCACAGUGUAGUCUAGACCUUAUGAAAUUGGAGGUGAUUCUUUGGGGUGUAGGUUCUUGGUCAACCUUAUGAAUUCAAAGGAAUAUUAUUGUUACAUCACCACCUUGCUGAUCUUUUAUUGAUAGAACUCAAAAUCAUUUAAGAACUUCCUACUCUGCCUCCCUCUCCUCUUCAGUUGGAUGGUUUGAUAGAAGCGGUUCUAGAAGAGGGGGGACACACUUUGUUUUGUAGCCUGAUACACCUUUGCUGGUGCUCUAUUUCUAGCUUCUGCACCCCCACCCAAGCUGGGAGGCUCAUCUGCUCUUCCACAUUUGGGGUGAAGGAAAAGUAGGUGGAGCCCGCCCGGGAGACAGGCGCGAGAUGGGGGUCGAAGGAGGCGACACACACCUCAGUCAACAGUCAGCUCCUUUUGCCCAGGCUGGAAAUGGUUUUAACAGGCGGUAAAAUUUCAUCUUGCGGUGUCAAAUUGGGGUCACUUUGGGGUUAGAGUUCUCAGUGUCCGAGAGGAGCUGUCCAGCUGCGUAGGGACUCAUUAACUGCAAAAGAUCUGUUUCAGUAAAAACAAUUCAAAGACAAUCAGAAGGCUAAAGACCCUCUACAAAUCGCAUUUUACAAGUGCCCCAGAACAAAUAUGAAUGCUGAAACCCAUUUCUUCAGAAUUUCAAAUCGGCUACUUAGCUCUGGAGUGGGGGGUUGGGGGCAGUACUUAAAAAAAAAACGGUGAAAGGGAGGAGAACCGAUAGGGUGGGGUGAAUGGGAGGGGAAAUUGGGCCUCUCAAAUUUAAGAGUCUGUUUUUAAUCACCUCUUUCUUAUUGAAGCAUCCCUAAGACUUCUGAGAACCCCUCUCUUCCCUAUUUUUUUUGUUUCAACACAGAAUGCGAUUAUAGGUCAUAUUUAAGAUUUUAAAAAGAAUAAUUGAAUCUCAUUACAGUUACUCAAUUUAAAGGGCACUGGCAUUAUGAGAGUAUGUAAUUUGAAAUAAGCAUUUGUGAUCCAAGACAUUAUUUUAGGUGAAUGUAUCCACGUUCCUCAAGGACCCUGUGUGGUUGUUCCAUUUACUAUUUUUUUCCCUAGAAAGUUACAGGUUCUUAGCGAUAACUCCAAAUUUCUCACAACUGAGUCUGAAGUGUUAAUCUGUGUAUUAAAAUUACCAGCUUUUAGUCUUUUUUUGUCUUCUUACAACAGAAUAAUCAAUGCCUUGCUAGUGGAGCAAAUAAAUACAACUUCAAUCGUACUUCUAACUCUAAUGUUUUGAAUUAGAAUAUUCUGAAAAAAGCAAUUGAUUUUUACUUUAUAAGAUUAAUUCUUAUUUGUGAAGGUUUUGUUUACUGAUUGUGAAGACACGAAUUGUUACUUUGAUUUUUAAAAACUUCAAAUAAAAAGCAAGAGCAUUUUUAAAAUUUGAGAAGCUAGAUAUAGAAAAUGCCAAGUGUUUAAAAUAAAAGAAAUUCAACAUUUUAACGUAUUGAAAGAAGUUUUCUUUCUUGGAUUACUGAACUGAGCAAGCAAAAAAGAUCAAAACAUUCUGUGAGUGUGUCUGUCUCUUUCUGUCUCUCUAUUUCUCUCUCUCUUUCUCUCUCUCUCUCUCUCUCUCUCUCUCUCACCCUCCCUCCCUCCUUCCUCCACCUCUGUCACUAGAGGUCUUGUCUUUCCAUCUGCUGCACUGUUAAAGGGAUCUCAAUGAAACUGCGAUAUGGGGAUGGGGGUUGGAGGUAGGGGGUAUUCUAGGUCUCUUCUCCAAACAUCCUAGAGUAUUUAUUUAAUUGCAGCCCUCCAGAACAGUCUGGAAUCCAGCAUUGCUGGGACAAAGGCAGAGGAGCUCUUUAGCUCCAGACCUUCCAGCUGACAGUUGGAAUUUUUGAUAUAUAUUUUAUUUGGCGUUUGCAAUAACGCAUUUGUUCCCCCCACCCCCUACCCCCUGGCAGCCAUCUAUUUCUUUAAAUACCUCUCUACUCUUUAAACCUCAGCUCAUCUUUGUGAACUGUUCUUGACCUUCCCAUGGUGUAAUCAGCAGCUAGGAAAGUUGCUUUAGGAAGACUUCCAGGGGCUUUCCUUCCAUACCUGUUAACUUGUUCACUCUAUUCCUGAUUGGGAUCAAGAAAGGGUCGGGCACUGAGGGUGAGGUGUGUGUGUGUGUGUGUGUGGGGGGUGCUUUUAUUUUAAUCCAUUCUCUGAUUAAGCUAUCAUAUUUUACCUCCCCCUUCAGUGAAUAACAAGAAACCACCCUAAAAUUAAUUUUCUUAAAUAAGAUGGGGUGGAAUCACCCCCGCCCCCCAUUCACAUUCCCCUUUUCUUCCAAUUUUAGCUGCUGGACCCUCUCGCAGAAGGCAAGUAUUGCAAUAAAUAGCCCUCUAGCGCUAUCUGGCGGGGCUCCAAACGCGAUGUGCGCUCGCUCGCGGACUCCGGCCCCUUCCCGCGCUCGCCUCCUUCCUCCACCCCCCUUCUCUAGUCUUGCCCUCAAUCUUGAUCCUCUCCCUCCUUCUCUUUCCGCUUGCUGUCUCCUUUCGACCUACCACCCCCACUUCCAGCGCUGACGACUUGGAACGACCGGGUCAGAGGCUGAUGCCCGCCCAAGUCGGGGAUGCCCCGGCGACCACCUUCCCCCACCCCACCCCCUCCGGGGCUCACGCACCUCCUUCGCCUCGGAAAAGCAUCUUCAAAUGUCUUAACAUGUGGCUGAAGCCGCAGCGCCUUACCCGAGGGGGCGACUUAGAGGGGACUUAGGAAAACUGCCUUUGUGAAGUUUGGAGGCAAGAAAUCAGCCGCGGGCAUCCCGACUCUGAGCAGCCCCGCCAAGUUUAUGCGCAGGAGGCCGAACCUCCGGGAGUUGGAGAAGGGCCGGGCUUCUUGCGGGUGGGCAUGGCACGCGCCCCCCACCCCGGCCUUGGGGAGAAAGACGGGGUGGAGGUGCAAGCUGGUCUCCCCCAAAGCUGCCGCGAGAUCCAGAUCUCUCGUCCACAGCAGUAAUAGAAUAUUAAUAACCGGCUUUAUCCCCACUCUCCCAACACCACCAAAUUUGGAGAGGACUUGGGGGGAGCGGGAACAGGAGAGCCACAGCACAGAGUUGAAAGGCGACAGAGCCCGAGGAAGAAAGGCACGCAGGAUGAUGCAGGACUCGCCACCACGCGUCCCCGCUCCAACCUCCCCCCCACACACACAUUCUCAGAGAUUGCUCUCCUUUCUUAAUUGUGGCAUAAAAACGUUAAAAAAAAAAAAGUAAACCUCAGUGGUGUGUAGGGAACCUCAAAGGGGAGAGGGAUGCAGAGUGAUGCAACUUCCACGGAGUGCUUCAGAUAGCAUCCAAUUUAGGAUUCUCACUCUGUCCCUGCCUGUCUCACUCCCUCCCCACUGUGAGCUUCAGAGCAAUACCCUGUAUUUCCUUCAAGCAAAAUCUCUCCCACCUAGUCCUUGAGGUAGAAAAAACCGAUAAGGGCCUUGGGGAGGAUUCAGCGCACCCAACUUUGUAGUUGCCACUGCAUUUUUCUAAAAAUUACUUUUGACCUUGUAAAGCGAAAGUGAGGACCCUAACAGACCAAAUCAGUAGCCACUUGGUGUGUGGGGACCUCCAGUCUACCUACAGUGUCUUCACUCUCCAGACAAAGGCCUCUUUUCUAAUUUUGAAAAUUCUAUCCUCCCCAUAAUCUCGAAAAAUAGAAUAGAAAGGGUUGGGGUAUAUGUGUGCAUACGUGUGUGUGUGUGUGUGUGUGUGUGUGAGAGAGAGAGAGAGAGAGAGAGAGAGAGAGAGAGAGAGAAUUCUAGGUUCUUUUCCACAAGAAUCCCACCUCCCAACUCUGACGGAAGAAAGCACAGUCUGGGCGAUAUUAAUUGAGGACUGCUAUUAGGUCAUCAUUAGCCAAGGUGCAAAUAAUUGCAGCCCAUUUUUACUUAAAAUUGACCAGGCACAGAGUGAUAGAUCGAUUCAGGGUAUAAAAAUGAUGUAUCAAAACAUCAAUGUCGAUUAUUUGAAAUAUUGUAGUCGAAAUUUUUUAUUGCUUCAUCGGUUAAGUGUCUGAAAGUGCAGUGUUCAAACAUAUAUUUAUGUUGUCAAUACUGUCAGAACUGUCAGUUUUACUAUACUGGAUUUGUACUACAUUUCGAAUUUACUCAUUUACAUAAAAUGCCCACCCUAGGAUUCCCCACCCCCAUUCCAUCUCACUUUUGCCUCCCAUCUCUGGAAAAAUCCUUGUCACUGUCUUCAAAGGAUUCAGCAAUCUUUGCUUAUGCUAAAGUGUGCACUGUCUCUUUCACGCAAUUCUCCACAUCAAAUUACGUGUCUUUUUUUUUUUUUUACCAUUUCUAACUUUCAGAGGGAGCUUUUCUCCUUUUUUCCCAAUUCUGCCUAUCCCAACCUUUUCCCUGAUACAGUAUUGUAGUACUUGGUAAGCAUCAAGCUCAAAUAUUCAUAUCCCAACUCCAAAUAAACCUGUUAGCCUGAAAAACAGAAAUAUUGCACCUCACCGUACCUCACUGCCGUACUCUUAUAGCCCCAGCUUCGCUGGGCAUACAUGUCAGGGUGCAUCAUCAAAUUACCUGGAAGAUUGAAAUCUUCCAGGGAAAUGAAUUUGGAAAUGUAAAUACUUUUUCUUUCUUUUUACUUAAAAGCUGUGAUAGGAGAAAAAGAAGUAAUACAUAUAAAUGAUCAGCACGUUUUACCUUUAAAAGCUUUUGAACUCAAUCGAAAGACACAAGUUAGAAGCAGAAUUGACAGUUUUAAUUCUCCCCAUUUUCACCUGGCACGUCAGAUCAGAGGCAAUCAUUUAUUUUAUAUGGAGGGGUAGAUAGGAAAUUCGCAGCAAAAACUUGAAUCCAUUGAAAUCUCGACCCUAAAAACCAGAGAAAUUAAAGACCCUUAUUGAAACACAAACAUUCUAUUGCUGCACACUCAGAGUAGACUAAUUAAAAUGUAUAAAUUCACAUUCUCUCUAAUUUUAUGCUGUUUAUUUUUUCCAGGAUUUCUUCCAAGUCUGCUAGGAAAGACAGGGCCACUUCUGGACUAGCUGUAAGAAAUGUAUUUUCACUUCUUUGACACUGAAGCAUACUUUUUAUAAAAUUAUUAAAACAAAUCUACUUGGACAAGCAAUACAUGCAAAGAUAGCUUGGAUAUUUGCAAUUAAUCACAGUAUGUGGGGGCGGAGGGAAGGAGAUAACAGAACGGAGCAAAAGUUUUUGUACACACUCUUGUCUUAAAAAUGAAAAUGCAACAGAAAGUUUUCUGCCUGCAUCUGUACGGCUUUGUAUGCACAGUGGUUUAUAAACAUCUUCAGUCCGUGUUUGCGCCGUACACUCCUUCUGCCACAGACUGGAAGUCAGAGGCAUCGAGGGAUUGCCCCCAGAGAGCUGUGUUUACUUAGGGUUUUUUUUCUUUUCUUCUUUUUCUUCUUCUUUUUAAAAAAUCUCCCCGCCAUGUAUGACAAGUGUUACUUCAAGAAAUUCAUCAGCCUUCUACAGAUAGUUCUCGUUUUACUGUAAUGAUCUGCAGAAGAGAACUGCCAUCACUUUCUCACAUCCCAAGGUGUUGCAGGGACUCAGAGAAAGGGGAGAGCGGCUGAAACGCUUAAUUACAGUGGGGGAGGGAGGGGCGCUGAUGCAGGGGACCCAGAAUGUGUACGUCUGCGGGGGGCGAGGGGCGGGUGCACGUGUGUGUAUGUUAAAGGUCCUUUACCUGCCUCUACCUGGAGAAAACUGUGAAUCCUCUUGGCGAAUAUUUGGGAAAGGUAUAGGGUUUUCUUUUUUUUCUUUCUUUCUUUCUUCCUUCUUUUUUUUAAUGCCUUUGGGGAGAAGUGAUACCCUUGUGUAACAAUUAGCUCAGACAAUAAAAAUAAUUGGAAAAUCA